AUGAAGCCCAGCUUGCUGGGUGGAUUAGUGGCGAACGGGUGAGUAACACGUGAGUAACCUGCCCUUAACUCUGGGAUAAGCCUGGGAAACUGGGUCUAAUACCGGAUAGGAGCGUCCACCGCAUGGUGGGUGUUGGAAAGAUUUAUCGGUUUUGGAUGGACUCGCGGCCUAUCAGCUUGUUGGUGAGGUAAUGGCUCACCAAGGCGACGACGGGUAGCCGGCCUGAGAGGGUGACCGGCCACACUGGGACUGAGACACGGCCCAGACUCCUACGGGAGGCAGCAGUGGGGAAUAUUGCACAAUGGGCGAAAGCCUGAUGCAGCGACGCCGCGUGAGGGAUGACGGCCUUCGGGUUGUAAACCUCUUUCAGUAGGGAAGAAGCGAAAGUGACGGUACCUGCAGAAGAAGCACCGGCUAACUACGUGCCAGCAGCCGCGGUAAUACGUAGGGUGCGAGCGUUAUCCGGAAUUAUUGGGCGUAAAGAGCUCGUAGGCGGUUUGUCGCGUCUGUCGUGAAAGUCCGGGGCUUAACCCCGGAUCUGCGGUGGGUACGGGCAGACUAGAGUGCAGUAGGGGAGACUGGAAUUCCUGGUGUAGCGGUGGAAUGCGCAGAUAUCAGGAGGAACACCGAUGGC
rnacentral:rRNA from 1 species